GCCCCCCGACUCGCGAGUCGCGAUGGCCACCGCCACCUCCACCUCGGCGGCCGCCGCCUCUAUGCCAGAGAGAGGGAGAUGGCGGAGAGCCCUAGAUCCGCCCCGCGGCGGCAGGCAGCGGCUCCCAAAGACGGCGCUGGCCUGCUCAGCCCGCGGUUCCGGUCGGCCGCGCUGGCAGGGUGGGACGAGGAGCCCGUCCUCCUCGCGACGCUCGUCGUCGAGGACACCCCCGUCCUGGAGUCCUGCCGCAAGACCUGGUCCUCCACCUCCGCCAGUGGAAGCAUCGGAUCCAGCACGAGGUGCUCCUCCGCUCGAUGCUCGCCUGUCCAAAGAAGGCAAGGCAGCUGCCGUGUACUCCUCUGACUUGAAGCGUGCUGCCCAGACUGCAUAGGCGAUCGCAGCAGCUUGCGAUGUAUCCAAAGUUGUGUUUGAUCAGGCGCUAAGAGAAAGGCACAUGGGAGAUCUCCACGGUCUGAAGUUUGAUGAUGCUGUCAGAAGCAAGCCUGAAGCUUACACGGCUUUCUCAUCUGACAACAGGAACCAAGAAAUCCCUGUAACUUGCUUCCAUCCUCCUCUGAAGAACCUCUUUGUUUUAGUUGGUGAAAAGCGGUAGCCAUGUCGCCACAGGAUUCACAUUAGCAGAAAUGCAGCAUCAACCCUUAGUCUUUGAAGAACAUGCAUUAGACACUUGUCAUUUGGUCACAUCCAGAUGCUUACUGAAAAUUUUGUGUCUCCAUUGAAUCCUUCCGAGUCAGUGAAAGAGCCCUCUUUCUGUUGGUUGCUGCUACUAGCUAUUAUAAAUUUUCCCUUGUUUUUUGAAUGUAAUAAAAUUUCUUGUUUCU